CCUACGGGUGGCAGCAGUCGAGAAUCAUUCACAAUGGGGGAAACCCUGAUGGUGCGACGCCGCGUGGGGGAAUGAAGGUCUUCGGAUUGUAAACCCCUGUCAUGUGGGAGCAAAUUAAAAAGAUAGUACCACAAGAGGAAGAGACGGCUAACUCUGUGCCAGCAGCCGCGGUAAUACAGAGGUCUCAAGCGUUGUUCGGAAUCACUGGGCGUAAGGCGUGCGUAGGCUGUUUCGUAAGUCGUGUGUGAAAGGCGCGGGCUCAACCCGCGGACGGCACAUGAUACUGCGAGACUAGAGUAAUGGAGGGGGAACCGGAAGUCUCGGUGUAGCAGUGAAAUGCGUAGAUAUCGAGAGGAACACUCGUGGCGAAGGCGGGUUCCUGGACAUUAACUGACGCUGAGGCACGAAGGCCAGGGGAGCGAAAGGGAUUAGAUACCCGGGUAGUC
rnacentral:rRNA from 1 species